GGAGAUGUAGCUCAGUGGUAGAGCGGUCGACUGCAGAUCGACAGGUCGCGAGUUCAAUUCUCGCCGUCUCCU